UACGUAGGUGGCAAGCGCUGUCCGGAUUUAUUGGGUUUAAAGGGUGCGUAGGCGGCUUUGUAAGUCAGUGGUGAAAUAUGGCAGCUUAACUGUCAGGGUGCCAUUGAUACUGCGGAGCUUGAGUACAGAUGAGGUAGGCGGAAUUGACGGUGUAGCGGUGAAAUGCUUAGAUAUCGUCAAGAACACCUAUAGCGAAGGCAGCUUACUAGGCUGUAACUGACGCUGAGGCACGAAAGUGUGGGGAUCAAACAGG
rnacentral:rRNA from 1 species